rnacentral:rRNA from 1 species
CAAUAGCGUAUACUAACGUUGUUGCAGUUAAAAGCUCGUAGUUGGAUUUCUGUGUUGGUGAGGCGGCCGGCCACUCGUGGUUGUAGCUAGUUAUCACCGACGCAUCUUGUCACAAUCCUGUCUGGCCUUCACUGGUUGGAUAUGGGGACUGACUCGUUUACUUUGAUGAAAAUUAAGAGUGUUCAAAGCAGGCUAUCGCCUUGAAUAUAUUAGCAUGGAAUAAUGAUAUAGGACUUUGGUUCUAUUUUGUUGGUUGUUCGAGAACCGAAGUAAUGAUUGAUAGGGACAGUUGGGGCAUCGAGUAUUCUUGAAGCGAAGAGGUGAAAUUGCUUGGAACCUUCGGUGAAGC